rnacentral:rRNA from 1 species
AUGGCAAUUGUCCAUACCUACGGGAAGCCUGACAUCUUCUUGACCAUGACCUGCAACCCUAACUGGGAAGAGAUAACGAAUGAGUUGUUUCCUGGUCAAACAGCGCAAGACCGACCUGAUCUUGUUGCUCGUGUGUUCCAUGGCAAGCUAGAGGCUAUGAAAGAGAUGUUCAAGAAGAAUAUCUUGGGUGUGGUUGUCGCACAUGUAUACGUAGUCGAGUUCCAGAAGAGGGGCCUCCCCCACACACACUUUUGUUGA